rnacentral:lncRNA from 1 species
UUCUUUCCAGAAAAGUCCUUGGUACUGUCAAAUGGUUCAAUGUCACAAAUGGAUAUAGAUUUAUAAAUCAAAAUGACACCAAAAAGAUGUAUUUGUCCAUCAGACUGCAAUCAAGAAGAAUAACCCACAGAAAUACUUGAAUAGUGUAGGAGAUAGAGAAACUGUAGUGUUUGAUGUGGUUGAAGGAGAAAUGGGCUCCGAAGCAUCCAAUGUGACUGGCCCAUGGAAGGGAGUUGU